AACUGAUACUACCUGCGGGAACCUGCGGAAGGAUCAUUACAGAGUUGCAAAACUCCCACACCCUCGCGAAUGUACCCGUCCCGUUGCUUCGGCGGGCCGCCCCGGGGCCGCCCCGCGGUCCCUAAGCGCCCCGCCGAAGGCCCUAAACCCUGUGUCCUGUGGUGGCCUCUCUGAGUUACCAUAUCGAAUCAGUCAAAACUUUUAACAACGGAUCUCU
rnacentral:misc_RNA from 1 species